AUUGAACGCUGGCGGCAUGCCUUACACAUGCAAGUCGAACGGCAGCACGGGAGCUUGCUCCUGGUGGCGAGUGGCGAACGGGUGAGUAAUACAUCGGAACGUACCCAGUAGUGGGGGAUAACGCACCGAAAGGUGCGCUAAUACCGCAUACGACCUACGGGUGAAAGCGGGGGACCGUAAGGCCUCGCGCUAUUGGAGCGGCCGAUGUCUGAUUAGCUAGUUGGCGGGGUAAUAGCCCACCAAGGCGACGAUCAGUAGCUGGUCUGAGAGGACGGUCAGACACACUGGGACUGAGACACGGCCCAGACUCCUACGGGAGGCAGCAGUGGGGAAUGUUGGAAAAUGGGGGCAACCCUGAUCCAGCAAUGCCGCGUGUGCGAAGAAGGCCUUCGGGUUGUAAAGCACUUUUGUCAGGGAAGAAAUCUUUCAGGCUAAUACCCUUGGAAGGAUGACGGUACCUGAAGAAUAAGCACCGGCUAACUACGUGCCAGCAGCCGCCGCAG
rnacentral:rRNA from 1 species